CCUACAUGACGACCCACCAACCCUCUGCUUUGAUUCUCUGCCAGCUGUUUCUGGAUUCUGGGCCUCGUGGUCUGUGUCUGACUGUUGGAUGCAGAACCUCCUGUGGUGUUUGUGGACCUGUGGUUUCUAUUGGUGAUUGGUUUGUGCUCGGCUCAUCGCUCUCAGUCUUCAGGAUCCAGACUCCAGUUUUAAUGGAUGGAAGCUUUGUGUGUAAAUCAUAGUAUUUGUUGUCACAGCAGUCAGUCAUCAAGCAUCUGUUAGUGUGACGUGUUGUUAGACUCACCUUCAGUCUCUGCUGCUGCUGCUGCUGCGUUUCAACACUGAAGCAUCAACACUCGUAAGUGAAGUGAACUGAGUCACCAUCAGUUUGAGUGAGUUCAUAGAACAAGCCUUCCUGUCAGAAUCACACAGGAAACAGCUGGUUUUACACAGGUUUAAAUUGUGCAUUUGUAACAAACAUUUAACAGCAAGGUCACAAAUAUUUAUCAUGAAUUCUCUGUAUUUAUGUUCAAACUCAACAGUUUUAAUUGUACAGAUGUAAAAACACUGUCACACUUUGGCGGAUGAAGGUUUUACAGGACGUGUGUAAAUGAUUAUUAGUAGAAUAAAAAAAAGUAGUAGAUUAAAAGCAGAUCAGAUGUGAUGAAGCUGCUGCGUUUCUACCUGCUCCUCUUCACUGUCUAUCUUGUCCAGGUCAGUCAUCCACCCACAACCAUCUGCCUUCUAUCUUUGAUUCCUGAUCAUCGAUCAUUUUUCUUCUAACUCUGUACUCAAGGAACCACUAGUCAAUGAUGGUGUUUUCUGUUCACCCCUGAAUCAGUGUGUUAUUCCAACAGCAGAUGGCGCAGUUUCACUAUUUUAUCAGGAUCUCUGUACUUGCCCUGCAACCGUUCUCUCUCUCUCUUUUGUUUUCACCAUCACCCCAGCUCUGGACCACUCACUGAACUCAUCGAUUAAGACAACUCGUCACUCCUGUGCCUUCCCUUCAGCCUCUCUUUAUCUGCUCACAGCCUGUCAGUCUGUGCUGGGCCGUUGUUUGACUGUGAUGGCUUUCUGUGCCACGUAGAGAGGGACCUGAGGGCGGUUAAUGCCUGGACGUGACUCUUUCAGCUGGUAGACUAAUCAUUAUUGAACUUCCAUUUGGGGAGGUUGCUCUCUGCAUUCUGACCCGUCCUCUGAGGGAGCAGAGAGGGAGCAGAGCUUCCACCCCCCACCAACAGAGCCACCGAGCUCAGCAUUCGACCAUGUCCGUGCUCCUCUGUGUUUGCUAGCUUUGCUAGCUGUGUCAGAGCUAGGACAUGUUAGACAUGCACCCUUAGAGUCCUGUGAGCCGCACGGUGUAGAACACAGCACACGUGCAUUGUUUAAGUCAUAGUCAGUGUCAUGUUUAGGAUGUUUUGCUUUGUUGAUGUGCACGAUCAACAUCCAUGUUUUUGAUUUGCUUUCCCCAUUAUUUUUAUUUUCCUUUAUUUUUAUAAUAAAUCACACAAAAGACAACUCUCUCGUCUGCCUCUUUAAGGAAAACUUCCACCAGAUUUCUAGCGUCCACAAACAGGGUCCGCUGCAGGUGGUCUGGACGGUGUGACCAGUGACGAUAGUCCCGAGGACUCGGGUCGCUCAGCCUCCAAACCUCUACAGACGUUCAGAGCAGGAAGGACUGCUCACCCGCCUGGAUCGUCUCCGACGAGAUCCACAAACUCAAAUUCAAACUCAAAUUUUAAGUUGGCUCGGCCCGGUUUAUGUGGUGAUUGAUUGGAUUUGGAAAAAAAAAAAGAUUGGAACUCUUUGUUUUUAAUUUGGCUUUAACCUUUUUAUUGGUUGGAAAAAAAUCCACUAUUUGGUUGAAAUAUUAAAUUAUAAUAAAUAGAAAAAUUGAUUAGGUUAAAAUAAAAAUCACAAUAAUACAGUUUCUUAAUCAGGUCAAAGUCUGCAUUUGCAGAGUGAGGUUUUUUUCAAGAUACAGUACGAGGGACCCAGGUCUUAGAGAGGCCUGAAGGUGUGGAAAUGCUUCGAGAAAGACUCAAAAAGGAGUCGCCAGAUCAGGUUGGUUCCCUUUUUACGGAGACGUUCGAUAAAAAAGGACUUUGGGGAAUGUUCCGGCCAGAAACACAAAAAAAAUCUAAGGCAGGAAACCUCUGGAAGACGGGUUGGGGGCAACCUCUGCUCCUCCUAAUGCAGAACUGAGCGCGAUGAGGGUAAAUCCGGAUCUGGACUCCUUUCCCACCAUCAGCAGAAGAACCGAAGGAGAAGAAGCGCCGACCAACAACCAGAACAGGGUGGAAGCUCUGACACCACAGCAGCUGGAGGACACAGACCACAGCAUGGACGCCUCAGCAACUCCACAACGUCUGCAGCCAUUGUGGUGGAAAUUUUCCAUAAAGAAGUAGAUGAGAGAGUUGUCCUUUUGUGCGAUUUAUUGAAAUAAUAAAGAAAAUAAAAAUAAUGGGGAAAGCAAAUAAAAAGCAUGGAUGUUGAUCGUGCACAUCAACAAACCAAAAACCAGCUGGGGAGAUCAGUGCACACACCACGAAGGUGUGAUGCAAAGAGCCCACGAUCCUCAAGUUGCUUCUGCCUUUUAACCCCUUUCUCUGGCUCUGGUGGAAUGUCUCUCUGCAGCAAUGGAAUUGUUUGCGCCACCUUAUCUCGCUGUGAGUGAGAAUGUUUGCUUUCUCACUUCUGCAUCGUCAUGUCUUGUUAUCCAAAGGAAGGAACACCGAGCUUCCAAGACAAGAUGCAUUUGCUUUAACAGCCUUGGGUCUGGUGGGGAGUCAGAUAGGAUGGAGCCAGAGUCCGGGUGUAAAAGACAAACAUAUAUCAGAAAUUAUUAGUCAGUCAAAUGGAGCAUCAGAUGUUUAGACUUGAUGUACGUCAGGGCACAAGAGAUUAUUUGUUUGUGUAAGAAUGUUCAGUAUUGCACCUAACCAGCACAUGACGAGUGUGUU